ACUCACAAAAGAAAUAAAAAUUUAUGGCACCAAUUUUUGUACUCCGUCUUGACAAGUAAACUUGUCAUUCAUGCAACUUCAGCAGUUCUGAGAAAACUUGUCCCCAUUCCUCGCAGCGUACACUGAGUUGAAGAGCAUGGAACAAGGGCCAUAGCUCUGUAAAUCAAUAACUGACAGGACCAUUUUUCGAACUCAGUCUUGACAAGUAUCUCUUAGAUAAGCUUGCAAAAUUUCAAACACGUAACUUCCGUAGUUUCUGAGAAAACUUGUCCCCAGUUCACAUUAGCGAUCAUGACUGUGGCCGAUGUAGUUUUUGUAUAUAUUUGUUUUAAUUUCAUUUUAGGUUUUUACGUAUAUUUAUCAUAUAUAACUAGUUGUCUGUUACAGUCAGCUAUAACAAAGUGUAUCUGACCUGUCUUACCUACUAACUGCCCCAUGGCCAGAAGCUUCAUUUGCUGAUUGGCCAAUUUAACACCUAUUGUUAAACUGCAUGCUUUGAUUACACUGCAUACUCUCUCAGCACAUAAACUGACAGAACUGCUCAGACCAGCAAAGGAUAAAGAGACAAUAUUAAAUCAGAUAAUCUAUGGUGUUGCCAUACGUGUGGCAGUUGGGAUCCACACCCUUGUAUCACCCACAGGGGUGUAUGAUAUAUAGAUCCUUGAUCACACUCAACGCAUCGCAAUAAAGACCUCAACCCCGUA